rnacentral:misc_RNA from 1 species
AAGUCGUAACAAGGUUUCCGUAGGUGAACCUGCGGAAGGAUCAUUACCGAGUUCAUGCCCUUCGGGGUAGAUCUCCCACCCUUUGUUUACUAUACUAUGUUGCUUUGGCGGACCGCCUGAUCGCCCCUCGGGGUCUUCAGCUACCGGCUUCGGCUGGUACGUGUCCGCCAGAGGACCCAAAACCCUGAAUAUUAGUGUCGUCUGAGUAAAAAGUUUAAUAUUUAAAACUUUCAACAACGGAUCUCUUGGCUCUC